CCUACGGGAGGCAGCAGUGGGGGAUAUUGCACAAUGGGGGGAACCCUGAUGCAGCGACGUCGCGUGGGUGAAGAAGCGCCUCGGCGCGUAAAGCCCUGUCAGCAGGGAAGAAAAUGACGGUACCUGAAGAAGAAGCCCCGGCUAACUACGUGCCAGCAGCCGCGGUAAUACGUAGGGGGCAAGCGUGAUCCGGAUUGACUGGGUGGAAAGGGGGCGCAGACGGCGAUGCAAGCCAGGAGUGAAAGCCCGGGGCCCAACCCCGGGACUGCUCUUGGAACUGCGUGGCUGGAGUGCAGGAGGGGCAGGCGGAAUUCCUGGUGUAGCGGUGAAAUGCGUAGAUAUCAGGAGGAACACCGGUGGCGAAGGCGGCCUGCUGGACUGCAACUGACGUUGAGGCCCGAAAGCGUGGGGAGCAAACAGGAUUAGAUACCCCAGUAGUC
rnacentral:rRNA from 1 species